GAUGAACGCUGGCGGCGUGCCUAACACAUGCAAGUCGAGCGAUUUACUUCGGUAAAGAGCGGCGGACGGGUGAGUAACGCGUGGGUAACCUGCCCUGUACACACGGAUAACAUACCGAAAGGUAUGCUAAUACGGGAUAAUAUGCUUUUAUCGCAUGGUAGAAGUAUCAAAGCUCCGGCGGUACAGGAUUGACCCGCGUCUGAUUAGCUAGUUGGUAAGGUAACGGCGUACCAAGGCGACGAUCAGUAGCCGACCUGAGAGGGUGAUCGGCCACAUUGGAACUGAGACACGGUCCAAACUCCUACGGGAGGCAGCAGUGGGGAAUAUUGCACAAUGGGCGAAAGCCUGAUGCAGCAACGCCGCGUGAGCGAUGAAGGCCUUCGGGUCGUAAAGCUCUGUCCUCAAGGAAGAUAAUGACGGUACUUGAGGAGGAAGCCCCGGCUAACUACGUGCCAGCAGCCGCAGUAA
rnacentral:rRNA from 1 species